AGCAAGUGAUAAAUUAUCAAAAUCAACGACCAUACUUUCCAGUAUCAGUCCACUACGCACCAGAAAGUUGCAGGAUUUUUCAAGAUUCUAUGAUGAAAAGAAAACUUCUACUGAUGAUCGGGACAUAAUAAAAAUCGGUGCUGAAGUAAUGGCUUAUUUUAAAGAUGAUAAGGCAUGGUAUCCGGCAAGAAUUCUGG